rnacentral:rRNA from 1 species
GAUGAACGCUGGCGGCGUGCCUAAUACAUGCAAGUAGAACGCUGAAGCUUGGUGCUUGCACCGAGCGGAUGAGUUGCGAAUGGGUGAGUAACGCGUAGGUAACCUGCCUCUUAGCGGGGGAUAACUAUUGGAAACGAUAGCUAAUACCGCAUAAAAGUCGAUAUCGCAUGAUAUUGAUUUGAAAGGUGCAAAUGCAUCACUAAGAGAUGGACCUGCGUUGUAUUAGCUAGUUGGUGAGGUAACGGCUCACCAAGGCGACGAUACAUAGCCGACCUGAGAGGGUGAUCGGCCACACUGGGACUGAGACACGGCCCAGACUCCUACGGGAGGCAGCAGUAGGGAAUCUUCGGCAAUGGGGGCAACCCUGACCGAGCAACGCCGCGUGAGUGAAGAAGGUUUUCGGAUCGUAAAGCUCUGUUGUAAGAGAAGAACGAGUGUGAGAGUGGAAAGUUCACACUGUGACGGUAACUUACCAGAAAGGGACGGCUAACUACGUG